AGCUUCUGAUUUGGGAGACUGAGAGGUGAGCACACAGUGGAAGUGUCAAAUCCUGAUCCUUUUGGGUGUGGCUCUCCAUAGUUGGACUCUGAUUGGCCUUUGUGAAUCUUCCUCCAAUACAGUAAACACAAUCAGGCCACUGUAUUUCCUUGAACGUGUUCUCAUGCCACUUAUACAGAUUAUCCCUAAAUUAAUGGUCACAUCAGAUUCACCAGCUGCUGGGGUUAAUUCUCUGAUUUUUGAUAAACUGUAGGAACCUGCUAUGUAGAAACAGAUAAGAAUACAGCACCCCCCUUGGUGGGCAAAGGCUGAUUUUCCGAAACUACCCACUGUCUUAUUGAAGAAAAGUUUCUACCUCCUACCGGACUAUUAGCCCAGAAAAAGAAUUCAUUGGGAUUUGAGCAACACAGCCAUUUGUCAGUCUCUCAUAGAUCAUCAGUUCAGUGCUUUCUUAGGGAACAAAACAAAUGAUGCUUUAGAAAACUACUCACUGUCAUUUUCUCUCCACUUCUCCAGUGCAUCUCCUGCGUCUGAAAAUUGCCAGACUUCUUCCUUAAGACCUUUGGCUUAUAUUCCCAGCCAGAGUGUAAAGGUCUAGGCUGUCAAUAUUUGCAAUGUGUGGGCUGAAAUUAGCCUCUUUUUGUUUUCUUCUUAUGAGUGAAAAUGUGCAAUGGGAAAAAGAGGUCACAUUAGGGUAGAUUUUUC
rnacentral:lncRNA from 1 species